AAACUCGUUCCAUAGUUGACUCCAAUUUGAAUGAAUGUCCGUGCCAAAAGUAGUUGUUUUAUCCAGACAAUCUGCAACACUAUUUGCAUUCCUCUGAAUUAAAAAAAUAGAGAUUCUCCAAUUCCAAUUCAUAACCUCCUGUGCUUUGCCAAAUUCUAUUCCGAAAUAUCCUUACUAAGCAUUCUUUAGUUUAUUAAGAAAAGAGCUUCUAAACGGUCUGUUUCACAAAUAACCUCACGAAAUCCGCUAUCCCAAGUUAGAAGUAAACCACUCCAAAUCGGACUAUUUUUUUUCCUAAUAUAUAUACCUUUAAUUUCUCACUUCUUCGAGUUGCACACACAAAAGAAAAUAUUGAAAAGAGAAAUUAUUCACAUACAUUGCACUUUUUUAAAAAAACAUGGCUAAAUUAUCGUUGGCAAACGUUUUCUUACUUAUACUUUUGGUUUCAGUUGUCGCAAGGACAAAAAAAGUGGGCGGAAGAGUGAAAUGUCAAGCAGGUUGGUCAAGCAUAGAUUGCGAAAAAAAUUCUAACGAUAAUUAUUGUAAUAGGGAAUGCAAAAACAAAAAGGGUUUACAGGCAUAUGGACAAUGCCGAAACUCCCUUUGUGUAUGCACCUUCAAAUGUCCUACUAAAUACUAAUUAAUUACUUAAUAUAAUCAUGAUUAGAAUUUCCAUAAUCGUCAUGAGAAAGAUUAUUAUAAAGUAUUAUUGUAAUAUUCAAGAGACAAAAAAAAAUUAUCAAACAUCCCAUUACGAAGACA